UACGAAGGGGGCUAGCGUUGUUCGGAAUUACUGGGCGUAAAGCGCGCGCAGGCGGUCUUCCAAGUCAGUGGUGAAAGCCCGGAGCUCAACUCCGGAACUGCCAUUGAAACUGUUAGACUUGAGGACGAGAGAGGUGAGUCGAAUUCCCAGUGUAGAGGUGAAAUUCGUAGAUAUUGGGAAGAACACCGGUGGCGAAGGCGGCUCACUGGCUCGUAUCUGACGCUCAGGCGCGACAGCGUGGGGAUCAAACAGG
rnacentral:rRNA from 1 species